rnacentral:rRNA from 1 species
UACGAAGGGGGCUAGCGUUGCUCGGAAUUACUGGGCGUAAAGGGCGCGUAGUCGGAUAGUUUAGUCAGAGGUGAAAGCCCAGGGCUCAACCUUGGAAUUGCCUUUGAUACUGGCUAUCUUGAGUUCGGGAGAGGUGAGUGGAAUGCCGAGUGUAGAGGUGAAAUUCGUAGAUAUUCGGCGGAACACCAGUGGCGAAGGCGACUCACUGGCCCGAUACUGACGCUGAGGCGCGAAAGCGUGGGGAGCAAACAGG